GGGUCAAGCGAAUAAGUGCAUGUGGUGGAUGCCUUGGCGAUUACAGGCGAUGAAGGACGUAGUAGCCUGCGAAAAGCUGCGGGGAGCUGGCAAACGAGCUUUGAUCCGCAGAUAUCCGAAUGGGGAAACCCGGCCCGAAUGGGUCAUCCCUUGCUGAAUACAUAGGCAAGGGAAGCGAACGCAGUGAACUGAAACAUCUAAGGUACCAAUCACUAGU
rnacentral:rRNA from 1 species